GUGAAUCAUCGAAUUUUUGAACGCAAAUUGCACUCUCCGGUUUUCCGGGAGGGUAUGCUUGUUUGGGGGUAAGUGGAAAUAAAAACGGUUUAGUAGUUUGUUGUGUUUUUCACGGGAACGUUGGUGGGUAUUUGGGGUGUCUUAAACCGAAAGGUUUUUAAGUGAUUUAAUAGGUUCUUACGA
rnacentral:misc_RNA from 1 species